rnacentral:lncRNA from 1 species
UUCUAUUACGAACCGAUUUAUCUUUCAGUAUAGUGUAUGAAUCAUUACCAACGGUCGCGAUCCUCUAGUAAACACCUGAUAUUAGGAAUUUGGGAAAUCAGAUUUCCCUCUUAUCCCACGUUUUGGUUUUCCCCCUUUUGUUCGUGCUUCGUCGUUCUCCACCGUUCCCACAUUCUCUAGGUUGGCCUUGCCCCAUCCUUAGUGGCAGAGCCUCCUUUGUUCAUUCCUAGAGUUGUAUCCCUCUAUGGCAAAGCUACCUUCGACACAUGGUUCCCACAUUCGUAGAGGCAAAGUUGUGUUCCUUCGAUCAUAAAGUUCUUCAUCUUGUCUCAUUCGCAUAGAGGCAUUUGGUUAGCCUCCUUCGCACAACUUCGUUGGACACCUAGUUCCCUCAUUCGUAGUGUUGUCCUUCUUGACCAACCUCCACUGUGCCCUCUUUUGCUUCACUACAGCCCAC